AUUACAGUUAAAAUUUAAUUUGCAUAUAUUGUUUGCCAUUGGAGAUAAGAAUAGUUCAAUAGAAAUAAGGAUUAAAUUGAAGAAGAGUAAAACUUGAGGGAAAAUUAAUACGUGCAUGAGCAAUUUGCGCGAAAUAAUUACGUAGUUUGUAACAUUAUCCUUUGGGCUUUCGCUUCUUUGUUCUCCCUCUUCCAACUCCGGCCUCCUCCUCUUUCUGACAAAUUUGCUUCGCUAAAAUUGCAAAAAGAAGAGUUCUCACAUGUUCCCUAAAUCUCUUCUAUUACUCAAAAUCCGGGUUCUUGUAUCCGCCUCGAACCGCCAGUUAACGGCUUCAAGCGCUGCUUUUCGAAUUACCGCCACCUAUUCUACAAUAUGCUAAAACCAAGCUGAAAGCCUGACGGAAGAAGCUCUAGAGUAUCUGAGAGACUCUAUUGAACUUUUCAAGAAAUGGGGUUGCAGCGAAAAUGAUUUGUUGAAGAUUUUUUCAUGCCAGCCUUCUUUGCGCCAUGCUCAAGUAACUCCCCUUUUAUCCAAACUCAAGUUGCUGAGUAGCUUGGGACUCACCACUUCCGACAUCGUUAAGAUAAUCAAUUGCCGGCCUCGUUUCUUUUGUUCUCGUAUCAAUAAUUACUUUGAUGAGCGGGAUGAUUUUCUCACGACCCUGUUCGGUUCACGAGAAAUGCUUCCCUUCCCUCUUGACGUAUGAUUUCCACAAUAGUAUCAGACCAGUCAUUGCAUUGUAUGAAGAAAUGGGUGUUAGCAGAAAUGAUUUGAUUGCUGUGCUCAUCUUGCCUCCCACGUUGAUUCCAAGGACUUCGUUUAAUGAGGAGAUGGUAUAUAUAAAGAAAACAGAGGUUUCAAAAGGUGCCAAGAUGUAUAAAUAUGUGGUUGCACUCAUUGGCAUGUCACGCUUGAGACUAUACGUGAAAAGGUGACAAUUUGUGCUUAUACGCAUACUGCUAAUAUGCACAUGUAUCUUAUUAUAUCUGGUUAAAGUGGUAAAAAUUUGUGCUUUGCAUCAUGUAGCACUGAUUUGAUUUGUUUAACCUUUUGUUCAGUUCUGAGGCAAGUGACUUUCCUUUUUUCUGUAAUAUAACUUUUUCCUUUUAACAGACGUGAUAAUCUGUUCUCAGGCUUUUGAUGAUUGCAUGGUACAUUUACCUAUUUCCUUUACCCAUCUUUCUCGGUUCGGUGGUCUCGAGUUCAAUGCCAUAGCUCCAAACAUACUAGAAUUUGUGGUUUAUGAUGGUGAAAUCUACAUUUAGCAACAACAAUUUGCAGCCUGCUCUCUGCUCUCUGUCUCACCAUUAUACAAUGGUUCAUGACCAGUGCAUGUUGUAAUCAUCUCUUAUCAUGUGUGUUCAGAUAAAUUUUAGUUAUAAUACAUUGACUACUAUUAUUUUAAGUUAAAAUUUAGGUAUAAUACAUUGACUACUAUUUUAUUAUAAGUUAAAUCAUGCUGUUGGUUUCUUUACAUGUAUAUAUUAAGGCAUCUAAUGUAGUUGUAGCAUUCGUCAUACAGGGUGGUGAUUCCGCUACUCAAGGUGAAAUCUCUUUUCUUCUUGAAACAGCAAGGCUCAACCAAUACUUAUAAGCAUCCACUUCUUAGAAUAGAACAACUGUGAGAACAUUAAUGGAGUCGAGACUAUUUUAUCUUGUCAUUUAAGUUUAACUAUAUGUUUAUAUUUUUCUAGUUGUUUGGGACUUGAGGAAGCAUAAACCCGUGAUAAGUUGCGAGGAACGGUUCUUCCACAACCUUCAAUCUGCUUAAUGGUGCGUUCAACUCCGAUGAGGGUCAUCAACUUAUGGGUCACGGCAGGGCAUACGCACUCGACAUGGGUGACCCUGACACGUGUGCAGCAGUCGGAUGAGGGGGGUGUGGCCGAACAUGACGGCACUGCAAGCAUUCACGAGCAGGCGCUGCUCCUCUUUGCACUGGAUAGGAGUCAUGCCUCCACUUGCGGCAGGAACCUCAAAAACACCCUCUACCACCACGAGCACAAAAAUAAACACACCAAUCCAUGAGCUUGCCAUCAUCUCUUUUUUUGCUACUGUUGGUGUACUUUUGCCUCGGAAGCAGACCCCUUUCAAUAGAGGGAAGGAACUCUAGCCUCGACAUUUACAAUAACACAAUUUCAGAUUUUUUAAAAUAAAGUAAGAAUUUUAUGCAUAGAAUUUUUGUCUAAUGGGACCUCUCAUGUGUACUUAGAAUUAGAUUAAAUUUUAGGUCUUGUUUCGUAUUGCUG